GUGCCAGCAGCCGCGGUAAUACGGAGGGUGCGAGCGUUAAUUGGAUUUACUGGGCGUAAAGCGCGGGUAGGUGGUUAAUUAAGUCAAAUGUGAAAUCCCCGAGCUUAACUUGGGAAUUGCAUUUGAUACUGGNAGGCUAGAGUAUGGGAGAGGAUGGUAGAAUUCCAGGUGUAGCGGUGAAAUGCGUAGAGAUCUGGAGGAAUACCGAUGGGGAAGGCAGCCAUCUGGNCUAAUACUGACACUGAGGUGCGAAAGCAUGGGGAGCAAACAGGAUUAGAUACCCUGGUAGUCCAUGCCGUAAACGAUGUCUACUAGCCGGUGGGGGAUUUGAUCCGUUAGUUGCGCAGCUAACGCGAUAAGUAGACCGCCUGGGGAGUACGGUCGCAAGAUUAAAACUCAAAUGAAUUGACGGGGGCCCGCACAAGCGGUGGAGCAUGUGGUUUAAUUCGAUGCAACGCGAAGAACCUUACCUGGCCUUGACAUCGUAGGAAGUUUUCAGAGAUGGAAUGGUGCCUUCGGGAAUCUACAUACAGGUGCUGCAUGGCUGUCGUCAGCUCGUGUCGUGAGAUGUUGGGUUAAGUCCCGCAACGAGCGCAACCCUUUUCCUUACUUGCCAGCAUUUCGGCUGGGAACUCUAAGGAUACUGCCAGUGACAAACUGGAGGAAGGCGGGGAUGACGUCAAGUCAUCAUGGCCCUUACGACCAGGGCUACACACGUGCUACAAUGGUGCGUACAAAGGGAUGCUACAUCGCGAGAUCAAGCUGACCUCAUAAGCCCAUCGUAGUCCGGAUCGCAGUCUGCAACUCGACUCCGUGAAGUCGGAAUCGCUAGUAAUCGCGGAUCAGAAUGCCACGGUGAAUACGUUCCCCGGGCCUUGUACACCCCCCCCCUUCAACCCCCA
rnacentral:rRNA from 1 species